GUCCCUGCAGCGCAAAGAAUCGCGCGUUGGGCUUCUAAUCCAAAGGUCGUGGUUUCGAAUCCCACCUGGGAUG